AGGACUAACGCUGGCGGCGUGCCUAACACAUGCAAGUCGAACGAAGUAGCAAUACUUAGUGGCAGACGGGUGAGUAACACGUAGUCAACCUGCCCUUCAAUGGGGGAUAACUAGCCGAAAGGUUAGCUAAUACCGCAUACGAUCUCUGAGUGGCAUCACUCGGCGAUGAAAGGAGUAAUCCGUUGAAGGAGGGGACUGCGUCCCAUUAGUUAGUUGGUGGGGUAAUGGCCUACCAAGACUCCGAUGGGUAGCUGGCUUGAGAGAGCGACCAGCCACACUGGAACUGAGACACGGUCCAGACUCCUACGGGAGGCAGCAGUGAGGAAUUUUCCGCAAUGGGGGAAACCCUGACGGAGCGACGCCGCGUGUGGGAAGAAGGCCUUCGGGUCGUAAACCACUGUCGAGGGGGACGAUAUUGACGGUACCCCUGGAGGAAGCCCGGCUAACUACGCGCCAGCAGCCGC
rnacentral:rRNA from 1 species